rnacentral:misc_RNA from 1 species
GAUGAAGAACGUAGCGAAAUGCGAUAAGUAAUGUGAAUUGCAAAAUUCAGUGAAUCAUCGAAUCUUUGAACGCACAUUGCGCCCGGUAGUAUUCUGCCGGGCAUGCCUGUUCGAGCGUCAUUUCAACCAUCAAGCCCCAGCGCUUGUGUUGGGGGCCUGCGGCUGCCGCAGCCCCCUAAAAGCAGUGGCGGGCUCGCUAUCACACCGAGUGCAGUAGUUCAUCUUCUCUCCGGUCUUGUGAGGCGGGUUCCGGCCGUGAAACACCCCACUACAUUCAAGGUUGACCUCGGAUCAGGUAGGAAUACCCGCUGAACUUAAGCAUAUCAAUAAGCGGAGGA